AAAUUGAAGAGUUUGAUCAUGGCUCAGAUUGAACGCUGGCGGCAGGCCUAACACAUGCAAGUCGAGCGGAAACGAGUUAUCAAAGCCUUCGGGUGGAGAUAACGGCGUCGAGCGGCGGACGGGUGAGUAAUGCCUGGGAAAUUGCCCUGAUGUGGGGGAUAACCAUUGGAAACGAUGGCUAAUACCGCAUAAUAGCUUCGGCUCAAAGAGGGGGACCUUCGGGCCUCUCGCGUCAGGAUAUGCCCAGGUGGGAUUAGCUAGUUGGUGAGGUAAUGGCUCACCAAGGCGACGAUCCCUAGCUGGUCUGAGAGGAUGAUCAGCCACACUGGAACUGAGACACGGUCCAGACUCCUACGGGAGGCAGCAGUGGGGAAUAUUGCACAAUGGGCGCAAGCCUGAUGCAGCCAUGCCGCGUGUAUGAAGAAGGCCUUCGGGUUGUAAAGUACUUUCAGCAGUGAGGAAGGUG
rnacentral:rRNA from 1 species